ACCCGCGCGCACAAUAUUGACAAGAAAGGAAAUACAUUUUUCGGAGUUGUGAAACUUUCUAUUUCGUAAGGAGUUGUGAACGUGAAAUAAUGACAGACUGGCUACACCAUCUCAUCUGCCGCAGAUACAGUAACGUUAUCAGGAGGACAGCGCAUUUGUUUGAAGCACUUUUCACUUCAACCGUGUCUGACAGGAGAAUUGGCUUUUCUGAGCCUACUAGCCGUUGAGAGUUACCAUGGCAACAGCGGACACAUCAGCUGCUGGAGAGGAGAGUACUCGUCUGACAGUUUCUCUGUUUCUCGUCAGUUAUACCAAAGAAAAGUUCAACAACUGCGACAGAUUGGAGCUGGAGGCUGUGGAGAAGCAGAUCCAUGACCUCGUGGAGAAGCAGGCCCAGCUGAGAGAGUGGAGAGCUGUGCUGGAAACAUUCAGGGGUUGACGCUCAUAAGUCCAGGGUAAGUAUACAGCCAACCCUACUACCACCUCUACUCUGUGUGGUUCACAGCACAGGCUCGGUGCACCCAGGACGCGAUCUUCCCAGAUGUCCACAACGUAAGACAUGAGCCAGGAUCUGGGCGAUGACCUCUCUCCUUCCAACGCCUCCGGUCUUCAGGAUCUCCACCUGCAGGAGCUCCACUUCGCGAGACAGAACACGACACUGUAAUCAUCGGAGACUCCAUCGUCCGACACAUACCCGCGAUCCUGAAGGCCGACGAGAGCCCCAGAGCGGUCGUGCUUCACGCCGGGGUUAACGACACCACGCUGCGGCAGACGGAGACGCUGAAGAGGGACUUCAGGAGCCUGAUCGAGACGGUUCACAGCACGACACCCGUGGCGACGAUCAUCGUGUCAGGACCACUGCCCAUGUAUCGACGAGGACACGAAAGGGCAGUUUGUGAAGACAGAUAAUCAAGAGAAGUCAGUUCCAGAUCCACCUUCCACACCAGACCUCUCUCUCCCGAGGAUUGCUGUCUACUAGCAUAUUGUGUUCUCUUCAGACUUCGGGGGAUGCAGAUAUUACUCAGGGACAUGAACACUUGAAUAUUGCAAGAAUAGAGAAAGUAAGAAUUACU